rnacentral:rRNA from 1 species
UACAGAGGGUGCAAGCGUUGUUCGGAAUUAUUGGGCGUAAAGCGCGUGUAGGCGGCUUUGCAAGUCGGGUGUGAAAGCCCUCAGCUUAACUGAGGAAGUGCGCCCGAAACUGCAGAGCUUGAGUACCGGAGAGGGUGGCGGAAUUCCCCAAGUAGAGGUGAAAUUCGUAGAUAUGGGGAGGAACACCGGUGGCGAAGGCGGCCACCUGGACGGAUACUGACGCUGAGGAGCGAAAGCGUGGGGAGCGAACAGG